UCGUGGGAUCCCGGUUCAUGUAGGGUUUUAGCCAUCGCUCCCCACCGUGCGCGAUACCUCGCCGCUCUCCCUCUAUAACAACGAGAGCAAGAAGGACCCCGGAUCCGCUGCCCUCCAUGGCCGCCGCCGCCGCCCGGUCGGUCCUCCGCUCCUCCUCCCUCCGCACGGCCGCUGCGAGGGUCGCCUCCGAGACCAGAGCCUCCUCCCGCCCUCCCCUCUUCCGCCUCCGGCCCGCCGCCCCUCGCUUCCUCAGGUCUCCGGUCGAGAUGAGCUUCGCCGUGGAAUCGCUGCUGCCGAAGCACAGCGCGACCGCCUCGGCGCUGAUGACUUCGAUGCUCACCAUUUCCCUUAGAGGAUACGGUUGGCUCUCUGAAGGACAAGAUGAAACUAGAUGAAGAUCAAGCCAGAAAGCUGGCAAUGAUGGCGUGUGACACUAGGUGGAGUCUAGCAAACAUGUUUAUCUGGUCUGCCCCACAAUCACAGCUGGCAAUGAUGACGUAUAACAAAUAUCCAGUGGAUUCGGGCGAAAUUCUGUACAGACUCCUGUCAGUCUUCGACAAGGUCUGUGAUUUUUCAUCAUGGAGAGCACUUGGAUUGGAGAUUUACCAUACCUUUUUCCUUUCUAUUUUCAUUGCUAAACAUUGUUAUGAUCUCAUUUGCAAAUAAAAAGGUAGCCUUGUGCAACAAGAUGGAAUGAUAAUGUAGUCUUGACUGUAACUUUUACUGAAUUUCUGCCCCUUAUAGUUGGAUCUUAGAUGUUUGGUUCUUGUAUUGUAGAUGGAUGAGGUGUAGUAUUCGGGGACAAUGCAUUGCUGGCAGUAGCUGCAGAAUUCUUCAGCUUGUAUUUUGAGGUACUUUUGGCCAAUUUCUUUCUAUUACAGGUGGAUGUUGUUUGAGAGUAUUUGAAAAUAUUUUUGUGAUCAUGCCAAAGUCUCCAUGGAAAAUCUUAUUUUCUAGUACAAGUUAGUAGUGGGGCAUUUGAUUA